rnacentral:tRNA from 1 species
GGGGAUUUAGCUCAGUAGCUGAAGCACUUGCCUGGUAAGCAUGAGGUUGUAAGUUCGAUCCAUAGUACCCA